GUGGCUCAGUGGGUAGGGUGACGGUCCCAUAUACCGAAGGUGGCAGGUUCAAACCUGCC
rnacentral:tRNA from 1 species